AUUCUAUUAGUAUAUAAGUAUAUUUAACUUCCAAUUAAAAGGAUUAAUUUUAUUAAAUAGAUUA
rnacentral:tRNA from 1 species